rnacentral:rRNA from 1 species
CGGCCACCGCUAUUGGAAUUCGAUUAAGACAUGCGAGUCGAGAGUCGUAAGGACUCGGCGGACCGCUCAGUAACACGCGGAUAACAUGCCCUAAGGUGGAGGAUAAUCUCGGGAAACUGAGAAUAAUACUCCAUAGAUCUAGAAUGCUGGAAUGCUUUUAGGUCGAAAACUCCGGUGCCUUAGGAUUGGUCUGCGGCGUAUCAGGUUGUAGUGGGUGUAACGGACCCACUAGCCGAUGACGCGUAUGGGCCUUGAGAGAGGAAGCCCAGAGAUGGACUCUGAGACAUGAGUCCAGGCCCUACGGGGCGCAGCAGUCGCGAAAACUUCACAAUGGGGGCAACCCCGAUGAGGGAAUUCCAAGUGCUAGCACUUUUUGUGUUAGCUGUUCUUUUGUCUAAAAAACAAGAGAAGUAAGGGCCGGGUAAGACGGGUGCCAGCCGCCGCGGUAAUACCCGCGGCCCGAGUGGUGGUCGAUAUUAUUGAGCCUAAAACGUUCGUAGCCGGUCUUGUAAAUCCUUGGGUAAAUCGGCCAGCUUAACUGUCCGAAGUCCGGGGAGACUGCAAGACUUGGGAUCGGGAGAGGUCAGAGGUACUUCUGGGGUAGGGGUAAAAUCCUGUAAUCCUAGAAGGGCCACCGGUGGCGAAGGCGUCUGACUAGAACGAAUUCGACGGUGAGGAACGAAGCCCUGGGGCGCAAACGGGAUUAGAUACCCCGGUAGUCCAGGGUGUAAACGCUGCGGGCUUGGUGUUGGGGGUCCUUAGUGGGCGCCCAGUGCCGGAGAGAAGUUGUUAAGCCUGCUGCUUGGGGAGUACGUCCGCAAGGAUGAAACUUAA